rnacentral:sRNA from 1 species
UCCACGCCUGGCAACAGCCAAUCAGUCCUUAAGAAAAUCAAUAUAAAGCAGAUUGAUUAAGCCAGCGACCAUUGUUCAUACCAAGCUGAAAUCAUUACUAGCCAAUAGGAGUAGGCCAAGCAAAUGUCAACCAAUGGUCACUGCCAAGUUGGAAAGUCCCUCACCCUGCUACCACGAUAAAGGCUAAAUGCUGUCCUGAGAGGGUUUAUUAUGAGAAAAACUGGCAAUCAAACUUUUAAUAAUGAACCUUAGAAGAAAGAAAUAAUGAGAAGAAUAUUUCAAGAGACCCACUCUAUCUUUACUGCUCACAGCACCGUCAAAGGCUCCAUGAUUCCACAGCAAGUGCUCUGGGAAGAGCACCGUCUACUUUAAAGUCAAAGAAAUGUCUUCAUUUGUGGAAAAUUGGUGGAAUCUGGCUACGUAGAGUGAAUCAUUUAGACUGAAUAAUUAUUGCCAUUAUUAUUAACUGUUUCAUUGCCUGUAAGGAUCUGCCGUCUUCUCCCAGUUCCUCUCUGAUGGCUUGCAAUGGCAGAGGCUCAAGGUUUUAAAAGUAAUAGCACAGUUACCAUUCCCUAGAAUAACCUCCAAACUGACAAAUAUUGUUAGUUUUUAAACAGAAAAAAUAUAAGAGGAAAUGACAAAGGAAAGUGGUAAGUUUAAAUAACAUAAACCUAAAUAGGAUUGGCCAUGUAAGAAUACAAAUUAUCUCAAAUUUCUAAUUAAGACACAUCUAUCAAAGAGCACAAAGCACAGCCUCACUCAUUGUGGGUGGGAGGUGUACUUGGGUUAGUGUGCAUCUGUGUAAAUAUGUGUGUAAGGAAAGAUGCGGAGGCCAAUGGUAGCAUUGUAUCAUCAAUACAAUCAAAUCGUGUAAUCAAAUAUUUCCUUUUCUUUUUCUUGAAGACUAGCUUUCUCACUCAACCUGAAGCUCAUCAAUUUGGCUAAGCUUUCUGGUCAAUAAGCUGCAACAGUCUUCCUAAUUUUGUCUCCCUAAGGGUGGGAUUACAGGUUUUAUAUGGUUGCUGUGGGUCUGAAGUAUCAGAACCUCAUGCUUGCACCACAGUCACCUCAUCAGCUGACCCUGCUCCUCAACCCUUGUUAUCUCUUGUUUGGAACAGACAAUGCCAACAUUGGGAAACUGGAGGUAGAUUAU